UCGUCUUCUCCAGUAGCGUCGGCGUCUGCGCAGCAGAGGGAGAACCGAUCGCCAGUGCUGGAUUAAUUUCAGAUUAGCUUUCAUUAAAAGAUAUUUUAGUCGCUCAUCGCAUGGUGGUGGUGGUCAUCCAUAUUAUGACUUGGGCCAUCGUCACGGUCACUGUGUGGCAAAUUGUUGUCAUCAAUUUGAUCGUUCUUUUCAACCACCCUUCCAUGGCUUCAACCUUCAAGCCUUUUAUACUACGCCAUCAACCGUCUCUGACCCUGCUUGGUGUCUCAACGGUGGUGCCAACUAUCAUGUGACACUCGAUCCUACCCAACUUGCUCAGGUCAUGUCUGUAGGGAGCUUUAUGGCAGGGGAUGUAUCUACUAGAAAAUGAAUCUCAAUCACAACCACAAGCUUAUAUGGCAUCUUAUGUUCUUGAAGCACUUUUAUCUGAGUACUUGAAUUGACAUUACAAGCUUGGUCAUCCUAGUGAUAGAAUUCUAAAGAAAAUUUUAUAAUAAAUGUAAUGCAGGAGUUGUUAUUAAUGAUACACAUGUUUGUGAAGCUUGUCAAUGUGGCAAAUCUAAGAUGCUCCCUUUUCCUUCAUCAACUUCACAUG